rnacentral:rRNA from 1 species
AUUGAACGCUGGCGGCAUGCCUUACACAUGCAAGUCGAACGGCAGCACGGGAGCAAUCCUGGUGGCGAGUGGCGAACGGGUGAGUAAUAUAUCGGAACGUGCCCGGUCGUGGGGAUAACGUAGCGAAAGCUACGCUAAUACCGCAUACGAUCUACGGAUGAAAGCGGGGGAUCGCAAGACCUCGCGCGAUUGGAGCGGCCGAUAUCAGAUUAGGUAGUUGGUGAGGUAAAGGCUCACCAAGCCGACGAUCUGUAGCUGGUCUGAGAGGACGACCAGCCACACUGGGACUGAGACACGGCCCAGACUCCUACGGGAGGCAGCAGUGGGGAAUUUUGGACAAUGGGCGCAAGCCUGAUCCAGCAAUGCCGCGUGCAGGAUGAAGGCCCUUCGGGUUGGUUAAACGUA